rnacentral:tRNA from 1 species
GGGGUUGGGGCUCAGUGGUUAGAGCGCUCGCCUCGCACUGAGAGACCCUGGGUUCAAUCCGCAGCACCACA